UAUUCGAACACAACUCAGGUCUGGGUUCCAUUGGCGCAGGCAGCCGCAGAAUAACAGGUGGCAAGUCCGGCAUUUCUACUUAAUAAUAUUACGUAAAUUCCAGAAAGGGAAGUGGCUCCUUUGGAAUGUUAUCAGAAGUUAUCUAGCUAAACAAACAGAAGAAGGGAAACAUGGGAACAAUAGCAAGUCAAUUAGGGAAGGAUCUGCUCUCAGAAUAUCAGGUGACAAAAGAUAUCUAACGUGAAUUAGAUAUCUAGCCAAGAAAGUGUGCAAAACAAGUUGUUGGCCAUUGUAGUUACUAGGUUAGGGAAUAACUAACCAAGUUGUUUUUAGCCAGCUGGCUAUUUAUCGUUACUUUUUGCCCUCAUAAAAGAGUCGCGGCUCAGCUUGAAUUAUUGCCUAUAUUAACUAGCGAGUGCAUUUUCAGCUUUUGACGACUGUUAGCUAGCUAGUAGGACAACGUGUUGAGCACAUUGCAAGUGACAAACUGAUAAAAGCAAGACGUUGUGGUAAAAAUAUGGAAUGUGUGUGUAGUAUUAGAAAAUAAUGUAUCCCUUCCAGGAGCUGAUAUUUCUUACAAAACCAGAAAUUCUGUUGUAAGUAACUAGCUUUAUUCAUGAUCAUUUCAAUUGACUGAUACUGUUGUUUUCAAUAUCCUAUUUGAUACAAAUACAGUAUAUAAAUACAUAGGCUCCAUUUUGCCAGAGCUUAACGUUCUUGGCAACUGAAAUUUACAACAAAAUUUGAUCGGCAAGAUGGAUUGUUUGAACUAGGUUGGAAUGGUUUGUCAUUUUAGAUGUAUUGUUAAAGGGACUUGAUGAACAAUCAACAUCCAUACAGGCAGAACUAAGUUUGUUUGAUGCUUCUUUUCUGUAGGGCACACAAGCGAUUCAGUGAACUGCUCUCCAAAGAGGACAGAAACCUCACCAGUGUGCCCAUGGAGAAAGUCCUUUCACUGCCAGAACUCAAGGCCAACCCUUUCAGGAAAAGGAUCUGCCAUGUGUUCUCAACAUCUGAUAUGAAAGAUGGAAGUCUCAUCUUUGAGGACUUCCUUGAUCUCUUGAGUGCCUUCAGCGAUUCAGCUACACUGGAAAUCAAGUCCCACUAAGCAUUCCGCAUUUUUGGUAAAACAAUUGUUGGUAAUUCUUGGGGUAUAUGUAUUCAUGGAUGUCUGGUAGUGUGUGGGUGGCUGGUGAAAACAUAAAAUCGGAAUUUUUGAAGCUGGUGAACUGUUUGACUGAAGACACAAGGCUUACACCUGAAGAGAUGAGGCAGCUCAUCAGCAAUAUUCUCUGGGUCAGAUAUAGACAAAGAUGGGACAGUAAAUCUGUCAGAGUUCCAACAUGUUAUCGAGGUCACCAGAUUUCAUCAGUUCUUUUAAGAUUGUGCUGUGAAGUCUACGAAUAACACACCAGGAUAUGGAUGCUUUGGAUUCUGUUCUAUUCAUACUAAGAGGACCUCUUCUAUUUUUUUCAUUGUAAUACUAAUAACUUUGAGAUUUUGCCUUAAAUUAUACGGAGUGGCUUCCCCCCACCCCCAGACUAAAGGUUCCUAAGCUUCUGGGUGUGUGCGGAUCACACACUGCGCAUGUUUUUACCUCUACUUGACGCAUACAUUUGUGUUGUCUCUUUCCUUUCACAUUUCUCAUUGUUAAUCGUGAAUGAUAGAGAUAAUGGAGUCUUUUUGUAGGCACCAACUUCUCCGUGGUUCGUUGGACAAAGCCUAAGGGGAAAUGAAUGGUGUUUUUGGAUAAACGGCCAAAAUAAGUUUAGGUAAACACGGGCUUAAUGGUGAUUUUGGCGUUUAUUCCAAAACCCUAUUCUUUCCCAAUUCAUUUUUCACAUAGGGAUGGCUGAACGAAUCAAAGGUAACUAAUUUCCUGGGUUUUAGGACUACAAGCUGGCGAGCUCUGAUAAUUCUUCAGGUUUUUACCGGUUAAAGGUCCAUGCAGCAUCUGCAUACCAACCAUUUGAUCUCAUCAGUUUCAUGGGAUAUGCAUUUAGAUCUUCUUGUGUUGUUGUUUCGAAUGAUGGGCUAGUGGGCAAAUUUUAGAGCAGAUGUUAAACUGUAGCAUAGUUUAGGCUGUGUUAUUGCUUAUUUUUUUUGUCUGACUAAUGUCAUACUAUUAUAUUCGGUUCUGUUUUGUAGAAUAGUAUCAUUGUGAUCUUGCAGACAUUGAAUCAGCUUUGAUCAAACUUUAUUAAAAACAAGCACCAUUAGCCAGAGUAGCCUGUUCUAUAUGAAUAGAGCAGAGUGUGCGUAAAGUAGAGAACAAUUUUUCCGGGGGUGAAAAGGUUUGGGAAAAGUCUGAUCCACAGCCUAAAUUAUUACUCUGUAGAUUAAUAUUUUCUGUUUGAAAAUGUAUUUCUACAUCAUGUCAGUGCUGUCUUAACUGUUCAAGUUUUUUACAUCUAUAAAUAGCUAUAAUAAAAGUAAUCAAGUCUUA